rnacentral:rRNA from 1 species
AUUGAACGCUGGCGGCAGGCCUAACACAUGCAAGUCGAACGAGUGGCGGACGGGCGAGUAAUGUCUGGGAAACUGCCUGAUGGAGGGGGCUAACUACUGGAAACGGUAGCUAAUACCGCAUACCAUCAGAUGUGCCCAGAUGGGAUUAGCUAGUCGGUGGGGUAACGGCUAACCAAGGCGACGAUCCCUAGCUGGUCUGAGAGGAUGACCGGCCACACUGGAACUGAGACACGGUCCAGACUCAUACGGGAGGCAGCAGUGGGGAAUAUUGCGCAAUGGGCGCAAGCCUGAUCCAGCAAUGCCGCGUGUAUGAAGAAGGCCUUCGGGUUGUAAAGUACUUUCAGCGGGGAGGCGUUACCCGAAGAAGAAGCACCGGCUAACUCCGUGCCAGCAGCCGCGGUAAUUC